rnacentral:rRNA from 1 species
AUUGAACGCUGGCGGAAUGCUUUACACAUGCAAGUCGAACGGCAGCACGGACUUCGGUCUGGUGGCGAGUGGCGAACGGGUGAGUAAUGUAUCGGAACGUGCCCAGUCGUGGGGGAUAACGUAGUGAAAAUUACGCUAAUACCGCAUACGAGCUAUUGAUGAAAGCGGGGGAUCGCAAGACCUUGCGCGAGUGGAGCCGCCGAUAACAGAUUAGGUAGUUGGUGGGGUAAAGGCCCACCAAGCCAACGAUCUGUAGCUGGUCUGAGAGGACGACCAGCCACACUGGAACUGAGACACGGUCCAGACUCCUACGGGAGGCAGCAGUGGGGAAUUUUGGACAAUGGGCGAAAGCCUGAUCCAGCCAUUCCGCGUGCAGGAUGAAGGCCCUCGGGUUGUAAACUGCUUUUGUACAGAACGAAAAGGUUUCUACUAAUACUAGGAGCUCAUGACGGUACUGUAAGAAUAAGCACCGGCUAACUACGUGCCAGCAGCCGCGGUAA